rnacentral:rRNA from 1 species
GGACCCGCACAAGUAGUGGAGCAUGUGGUUUAAUUCGAAGAUACGCGCAGAACCUUACCAACACUUGACAUGUUCGUCGCGACUCUAAGAGAUUAGAGUUUUCGGUUCGGCCGGACGAAACACAGGUGCUGCAUGGCUGUCGUCAGCUCGUGUCGUGAGAUGUUGGGUUAAGUCCCGCAACGAGCGCAACCCUCACUUUUAGUUGCCAUCAUUAAGUUGGGCACUCUGAAAGAACUGCCAGUGAUAAGCUGGAGGAAGGUGGGGAUGACGUCAAGUCCUCAUGGCCCUUACGUGUUGGGCUACACACGUGCUACAAUGGCAACUACAGAGGGAAGCAAGACCGCGAGGUGGAGCAAAUCUCUUAAAGCUUGUCUCAGUUCGGAUAGGAGUCUGCAACUCGACUCCUUG